AGAUCAUUUUGAGGACAAUUCCUCAACAAACCCUUGUAUCGCUCCCAUGCCUCAUACAGUGACUCCCCCACUUGUUUCUUGAAAUUUGCAAUAGCCUUCUUCAACUU